rnacentral:rRNA from 1 species
GAUGAACGCUGGCGGCGUGCCUAAUACAUGCAAGUCGAGCGAACGGACGAGAAGCUUGUUUCUCUGAUGUUAGCGGCGGACGGGUGAGUAACACGUGGAUAACCUACCUAUAAGACUGGGAUAACUUCGGGAAACCGGAGCUAAUACCGGAUAAUAUUUUUAACCACAUGGUUCAAAAGUAAAAGACGGUCUUGCUGUCACUUAUAGAUGGAUCCGCGCUGCAUUAGCUAGUUGGUAAGGUAACGGCUUACCAAGGCAACGAUGCAUAGCCGACCUGAGAGGGGGAUCGGCAAAAUUGGAACUGGACAACGGUCAAGACCCCUAAGGGAGGAAGAAGAAGGGAAUCUUCGGAAAUGGGCGAAAGCAUGACGGAGCAAGGCCGCGUGAGUGAUGAAGGUCUUGGGAUCGUAAAACUCGGUUAUUAGGGAGGAACAUAUGUGUAAGUAACUGUGCACAUCGUGACGGUACCUAAUCAGAAAGCCACGGCUAACUACGUG